UACAGAGGGGGCAAGCGUUGUUCGGAAUUACUGGGCGUAAAGGGCGCGUAGGCGGCCUUCUAAGUCGAACGUGAAAUCCCCGGGCUCAACCCAGGAACUGCGUCCGAUACUGGAAGGCUUGAAUCCGGGAGAGGGAUGCGGAAUUCCAGGUGUAGCGGUGAAAUGCGUAGAUAUCUGGAGGAACACCGGUGGCGAAGGCGGCAUCCUGGACCGGUAUUGACGCUGAGGCGCGAAAGCCAGGGGAGCAAACGGG
rnacentral:rRNA from 1 species